ensembl:lncRNA
UUUCUUUACAGCUGAUACUAUAUGGAGCCCUUUAAAGAGCUACUGAGUCAUCUCGACAGCAAAUAAAAACAUACAGCGCAGUAAUACAAACAACAGGAUAAGCCAAAGCUCUCAUUGGCUACAUGUGUGUAAGUAAGUGUGUAUAUUUCCUAAAGCCCCAGAGAUCAGGAGAGAACAGCUCCUGCACACAGAGGUAAAAAUUCAUUUCUUGAGAGCUAUAUAUCAAGCGGUAUUUGUUUAAUGAGUGCUCCUGUGGAAAGAUGUAUAGAACAUGUCAGGCGUCCACUUGCAGUGCGUUCUGGGAUACAGAUAACAUCACAGAAUGUGACCGCUCACUCUGUCUCAACGCCCCAUCCGCUUUAUCUCCCUCUUCCCCGGUCCAUUAUAAAUGAGAGGCUAUGGGAGAACAAGGAACAAAAAUAAUGGAGGAGGGGAAAAAAGCCUCACCAGCACUCCGCAACCACCAAAACAAACAAACAAAAGAAUCAUCAACGCUGGACCUGGAUGGACGUUUCGUUAAAGCACUUCAACGGUGCCACCGCAAUGUGCUGCAAGACAUGUCGUGGCGUGUAAACUCUGUGAAAAAUGAGCCCUGUUUGUGGUCAUCCUUUAUCGGGUUUUUGCUCCAUUUAAGUUAUGGAAAUGAGAUGCAAGAGGCGGACGUGGGGGUAAUUAAUUGUAACUCGAAGGAUAAUAUUGGCCUGUCAGGGACGUCUGCGCGUUGUGUAACAUUUUUUCAAGGGGAAUGUGCUCAAACUGGGAGGAUCUGCUGGCUUUCUGUCUUAAUUGCAGUGCAGCCGGAAUGUUAAAACACUUCCUGCUUUUCUCCUCUACUACCUCCUCUCCUUCCUGUCAUAGUAUUUAUUGUUUUUGUAAACAUUGAAACACAGGAAUUAUCAGUGGGCAAAGUUUUGACACACUUUUACUUUUUUUGGUGAUAUGAUGCUUUGAAUUAGUGCUGUCAAACGAUUCAUUGCAAUUAAUGGCAUCCCAAAUAAAAGUUUUUGUUUACGUAAUAUAUACUGUGUA